rnacentral:lncRNA from 15 species
CAAAAUGUUAGCCAUGAAAAAGGUCAGACAUUUUUUAGCCAAAUUACAUCAAAGGGUUAUUAUUUCGUAUGACAACUGCUGACUGAAGUGUGAUCUGAUAAAUGAACAGAACAUUUCUUUCUCUCCAGUUUGGCAAGAGUUUGUUGUUUUCUUUUUUGGGUUAGUCAUCAGAUCAGCUCAGGUCUGGUGUCAGGGUGACGAUUCACGGUGUCAUACAGUACUCAGUGUCAUCCUAAUUGCAAAGUUAGUGCUUUGUCGAGUUUGCCAGGAGCCUUAUCAGAACCACCCAGACACCAUUAGGAUUUUUGAGGGAUUUUUGAUGACAUUGGUUUUAUAGGCAAAUUAAUAGUUGUCUUUUUUAUUGUAUUUCAGUACCUAUCUUAGGGGAUACAUUAGAUAUUUCAAAUUCUGUUGCAAAAAACCUUAAGAAAGAAGAUUUGAAAAUAUUUUGGAUAUAUUUACACAAGUAAUUCCCUGCACAUCAAAUGAUAGAACAGUUAAUUAUACAGUAUUUUUCAUAAAUGAAAUAAACAUUAAAUAUUGAAAUGAAAGUAAAAACACACCCAUUACAUUAGUAAGCAUUUGUAAAAGGUACACAAAACUUACUGUUCCAAGCACCGAGCUCACCAAGAUGAAGUGAAGAUAAGGAUGAAGCAGGAAUAUGAAGUGAAUCAGUCUUUUUUGAGCAAUUGUUGCUUUAUUCCCUCCACAUUUAGGGUAAAGAUGGACCUCAAGGACCAACUGGAUCAGCUGGUGUCAAAGGAAAUAAGGGAUCCAAAGGAGCUUUGGGGCAGGAGGGAGUCGCUGGUCUCGAUGGUGAGGAGGUAGAUUGAUUAGACUGUGUUUGUCACAGAUUUGAUUUCUAUCCUUUUUCAUUUAACUGAAUGCAAAGGUCUGAUUUUAACACAGAUUUAGAGGCCUAUGCAGUCUAUAGGUUCAACUGUAUGAAAAGACAGUCCUAUGUUAAAUGUUCAUUUAUGGGUAACCCAUUGCUUUUUUCUCCAGGGUCUAGUUGGACUAAGGGGAUCUGAGGGGCCAGCUGGACAAAAAGGCAAAUCUGGUGACAAGGGGAACACUGGGCCUCCUGGAAAUAAAGGGUCAAAGGGAGCUGAGGGCAGCAGAGGCAACCAAGGGCCACAGGGAUCAAAGGGCCCUCCAGGGAAACAGGGAUACAGGGGUGCACCAGGGGACAGAGGGAAAGUAGGAGUUCUAGGCCUCAAGGUCAGUCAUUGUGGUCAGUCAGAAGCAAUAUUGGACAUGAGUUGA